CUACGUGCCAGCAGCCGCGGUAAUACGUAGGGUCCGAGCGUUGUCCGGAAUUACUGGGCGUAAAGAGCUCGUAGGUGGUUUGUCGCGUUGUUCGUGAAAACUCACAGCUCAACUGUGGGCGUGCGGGCGAUACGGGCAGACUGGAGUACUGCAGGGGAGACUGGAAUUCCUGGUGUAGCGGUGGAAUGCGCAGAUAUCAGGAGGAACACCGGUGGCGAAGGCGGGUCUCUGGGCAGUAACUGACGCUGAGGAGCGAAAGCGUGGGGAGCGAACAGGAUUAGAUACCCUGGUAGUCCACGCCGUAAACGGUGGGUACUAGGUGUGGGUUUCCUUCCUUGGGAUCCGUGCCGUAGCUAACGCAUUAAGUACCCCGCCUGGGGAGUACGGCCGCAA
rnacentral:rRNA from 1 species